GACGAACGCUGGCGGCGUGCUUAACACAUGCAAGUCGAGCGGUAAGGCCCUUUCGGGGGUACACGAGCGGCGAACGGGUGAGUAACACGGGGGUGACCUGCCCUCAGCUCUGGGAUAAGCCCGGGAAACUGGGUCUAAUACUGGAUAUGACUCCACGGUGCAUGCCGUGGGGUGGAAAGCCUUGUGCGGCUGAGGAUGGGCCCGCGGCCUAUCAGCUUGUUGGUGGGGUGAUGGCCACCAAGGCGACGACGGGUAGCCGGCCUGAGAGGGCGACCGGCCACACUGGGACUGAGACACGGCCCAGACUCCUACGGGAGGCAGCAGUGGGGAAUCUUGCGCAAUGGGCGAAAGCCUGACGCAGCGACGCCGCGUGAGGGAUGACGGCCUCGGUUGUAAC
rnacentral:rRNA from 1 species